GGUAUGGCUCAGAGGUAGAGCGCUUGCCUAGCAUGCAUGAGGCACUGGGUUCAAUUCUCAGCACC
rnacentral:tRNA from 1 species